rnacentral:rRNA from 1 species
GGGAUCUUCGGACCUCGCGCUGAAGAGGAGCCUACGUCUGAUUAGCUAGUUGGUAGGGUAAAGGCCUACCAAGGCGACGAUCGGUAGCUGGUCUGAGAGGACGACCAGCCACACUGGGACUGAGACACGGCCCAGACUCCUACGGGAGGCAGCAGUGGGGAAUUUUUCGCNAUGGGGGCAACCCUGACGAAGCAAUGCCGCGUGAAUNNAGAAGGCCNUCGGGUUGUAAAGWWCUUUCGUGGAGGANGAAAAGGUGGGUGCUNANNNCGCCUGCUGUUGANNUGAAUCCAAGAAGAAGCACCGGC